rnacentral:rRNA from 1 species
CGCGAGUAGAAAUACUUGACUGGGGGGUUGGUGAGUAACGCGUGAGAAUCUGCCUUCUGGUCGGGGACAACCAUUGGAAACGGUGGCUAAUACCGGAUAUGCCCUUGGGUGAAAGAUUAAUUGCCAGAAGAAGAGCUCGCGUCUGAUUAGCUAGUUGGAGAGGUAAAGGCUCACCAAGGCAUCGAUCAGUAGCUGGUCUGAGAGGACGAUCAGCCACACUGGGACUGAGACACGGCCCAGACUCCUACGGGAGGCAGCAGUGGGGAAUUUUCCGCAAUGGGCGAAAGCCUGACGGAGCAAGACCGCGUGAGGGAGGAAGGCUCUUGGGUUGUAAACCUCUUUUGUCAGGGAAGAAGAAAGUGACGGUACCUGAAGAAUCAGCAUCGGCUAACUCCGUG